AUAAACCUAAGUGUGUAACAUUGCACUGCUUCGGUGGUCUUACAGAAACUCCCUGUUGAACGGGGUAGUCAGGGUAGCUUAUUGCACCUAUGUAGCAACAGGCUGAAAGGACUGGGGAGGGAGGGUGUGUUGAUUUAACCCGUAACCAUUGAACCAAGCAUGAUUGAUAAAAUUUGUCACUUAUUGACUCAACUGUAGGAGAUAGGAGAAAACAGGCUUUUCUUGCCCAAGUUAGUUUAAAUUACAUUCCAGGCAUAUUAAGGGCAGGCUAGUUAGUUUAUAGUCUGAUAUUUGUGACCUCUGGUGCUGGUGUAGGAGGCCAUGUUAAAAUCGAGUAAACAAAUUCUUCACUGUGCUUUCCUUAUUCUAGAAAGGAAUAUGUUG
rnacentral:lncRNA from 1 species